GGGCCGGUAGCUCAGUUGGCUAGAGCGCUUCGCUGGCAGUGAAGAGGUCAGGGGUUCAAGUCCCCUCCGGUCCA
rnacentral:tRNA from 1 species